UGGGGAAUAUUGCACAAUGGGCGCAAGCCUGAUGCAGCCAUGCCGCGUGUAUGAAGAAGGCCUUCGGGUUGUAAAGUACUUUCAGCGGGGAGGAAGGGAGUAAAGUUAAUACCUUUGCUCAUUGACGUUACCCGCAGAAUAAGCACCGGCUAACUCCGUGCCAGCAGCCGCGGUAUUACGGAGGGUGCAAGCGUUAAUCGGAAUUACUGGGCGUAAAGCGCACGCAGGCGGUUUGUUAAGUCAGAUGUGAAAUCCCCGGGCUCAACCUGGGAACUUCAUGUGAUACUGGCAAGCUUGGGGCUCGUAGAGGGGGGUAGAAUUCCAGGUGUAGCGGUGAAAUGCGUAGAGAUCUGGAGGAAUACCGGUGGCGAAGGCGGCCCCCUGGACGAAGACUGACGCUCAGGUGCGAAAGCGUGGGGAGCAAACAGG
rnacentral:rRNA from 1 species